rnacentral:snRNA from 10 species
GUGAGAGUCAUCUGGCUUCAACAUCACCCCAUUGAUCACCAGGGUUGUUUGGGCUGAUCUGUCUGGCUAGGCAGGUGCCCCUUCCAACCUUACUGUUCCAUGUGCAUCCCUCCUGAAGCCGAGAGCUUAAUCGAAGGGAGCAACCUUCCCAGAUAGAGAGGACUGUUGGUCAUCCAGGGUACACUGGUAGUUGUGCUACUGUGCUAAAACCUCCAGAUAAGUUCUCAGUAUAAACCAGUGAUUCUGAGAAACAGUUAUAUUAAAAAUAAAUUAUUCUCCUGAUUAAUACAUUGCUUUAAAUAAAGGUUCUGAUGUACAUU